GGUCUGGUAGUUCAGUUGGUUAGAGCGCACGCCUGAUAAGCGUGAGGUCGAUGGUUCGAGUCCAUUUAGGACCACCA
rnacentral:tRNA from 1 species